rnacentral:rRNA from 1 species
UACGUAGGGCGCAAGCGUUAUCCGGAAUUAUUGGGCGUAAAGAGCUCGUAGGCGGUUUGUCGCGUCUGCCGUGAAAAGUCCGGGGCUCAACUCCGGAUCUGCGGUGGGUACGGGCAGACUAGAGUGAUGUAGGGGAGACUGGAAUUCCUGGUGUAGCGGUGAAAUGCGCAGAUAUCAGGAGGAACACCGAUGGCGAAGGCAGGUCUCUGGGCGAUUAACUGACGCUGAGGGAAGCGGAAAGCAUG